UCUUCAUUUCACACACUCUCUCGUCUUACUGACUGGUGAGAUAGUGUGAAGAAUGAAGAGA
rnacentral:pre_miRNA from 1 species